rnacentral:rRNA from 1 species
UACAGGGGGUGCAAACGUUGCUCGGAAUCAUUGGGCGUAAAGCGCACGUAGGCGGUUCGUUAUGUCGGAUGUGAAAGCCCUUGGCUUAACCGAGGAAGUGCAUCCGAAACUGGCGAGCUAGAGUACGAAAGAGGAUCGCGGAAUUCCCGGUGUAGAGGUGAAAUUCGUAGAUAUCGGGAGGAACACCGGUGGCGAAGGCAGGUCUCUGGGCUGACACUGACGCUCAUGCACGAAAGCGUGGGGAGCAAACAGGAUUAGAU